rnacentral:snRNA from 1 species
CUAAGCACCUAGCAAGGGAGUCACCAUGACCAGGCAGGUGGUUUUCCCAGGGCGAGGCUCAUCCCCUGCACUCCGGGUGUGCUGACCCCUGCGAUUUCCCCAAAUGCAGGAAACUCAACUGCAUAAUUUGUGGUAGUGGGGGACUGCGUUUGCGCUCUCCCCUA